ACCCCAAUACACAGGAUCCCCCGAAACACCCCAAUACACAGGACCCACUGAAACGCCCCAAUACACAGGAUCCCCCGAGAUCCUGAUUUAGUGUCAGAGAACCUGCUUCCUGGGUGAUCCCAGUGUGAAGGCCUGGGCGGAAACCCAUUUCAGGUUCCCACGCCAGCAGAUGCCGAGUGACCACGCCUGGGCGGGCAGGGCUUUCGGUUCUUCCCAGCUGUGUGACCUUGGCAGGGCCCUGCAGCUCUCUGAGCCUUGGGUUCGCCCAUGUGUGCUGGGAUAGUGUCCCUGCCUUCCGUGUCUCUCAGGAGUAUUGAGAACAUCAAGUGAAUUCCAGCAUGGGGCCAGUGCAGGCCAGCAACCAAGAGCGCCCUGCUCCUUCAAGGCAGAGCCUGGAGCCAGGCCACAGAGGCCGGAAGACGCUGGAAGUGCGGCGGGAGCCGGUCCCAUCUGCCCUCCGCACUCUGCCCAGGCUUCUGCCACCGAGCACUGCCUGGACCUGGUGGGGCAUGACUGGGACCCAGGAAGGGUCUGCGACGUCAGUGACAUAAAGCCCAAUAGGACAGAAAAAGGAAGCACUUCUCUCAUUGGAAGUGUUACCUAGAUGUGGGAAUGACAGUGCAGUCAUUGUGAAUGGAGGUCCUGGGGCCGAACCGCCCAGGUGAGAAUCCAGCCUCUACCAGGAGAAGCUGCUGAAGUCUCAUUUCUUCACCUGUACAAUGGGCAGAGUUGCUUUGAGGAUUAAAUGAGAUAAUCCAUACAAGGUGACACCAUGGAAGGUCAGAGAGGUUAGGGAUCUAAUUGCCCAAGGGGCAAUGCCAGCAAGUGGAAACAGAGCCAGAACCUGAACCCACGUCUGCCUAACUCCAAAGACAGCUCUUUCUGUAUGGUGUCCUGCUUGAACUCAGAAUGGGUGCUUUUGGGGCUGUCUGAGAAACGGGAGUGAAGAAUCUCCCAGGCGGCUGGGAGGAGGGCAGGGCCUGGCUGGAGACCCCCAGAGCAG
rnacentral:lncRNA from 10 species